CGGGCAGCGGCUGGAUUUCGGCGAACGUCGUCAUGGUCGUGGGCAGCUGGAUCUCUUUGGGGAUCAGGUGUCUACUAACUUCUGGAACAUGGCAUAGAAGAAAUGGGCCAGACUAUUUAUGGGAUUUCAUUGGGAGGAUUGUUGCCAACAAUCCCUUUUCUCUCCUACCAGCAGGAUAAGAAACAGGACCUGUCAAAAUGGAGGGCUUAAGCUCCCUCCAUCCCCAGAAAGAGGGUGAAUUGAAGGAGAGGAAGAGGAAAACCAAUGGGGGCAAGACCAUUGCUCUGCCUGUUAGCUCCAUGUCUGAGCCACAUCUGUAUCCUGUGCCCAUGAUGGUGUCUAGAACCUGGCAGGUUUUAAUGAAAGAAAUGUGCUGGUGGAAAGAACAAAUGAGAAAAAAAAAAAAAGAUUAUUUCAGGGAAAAUGUAGAGAAAUCACUAGGAAGCAAAAGAUAAACAACACUACAACCAGGACCCAUGGUAUCCUGUUGUCUUUCAAGGCCUUUGCUGUCUGCUCUUAGAUAACUAUGUCCUUUCCUGUGCCCCCGACAAAGACCUGAAGCACCUAUACAGUUCUCUACUGACAUUAUCUGUUCACAUCUGUGGCUCCACUUUGAGGAGAGGCAUUGUCCAGGGAAAGGACAGUAUUAUAUUCAUCUUGAUUACCUCCAGUGCCUAAAAUGCCAUCUAGCUCACAGCAGACAGCGUGACGAAUCAUAGGCUCUCAGCAAACGCUACCUGUGUAUUACUACAGUCGGGAUGAUAAACAUGCACUGAGCAGAGAA